CCCAUAAGUAAUAAAAGGUCCGUUUAGGUCCCUUAACUUUAUUUAAAGUAUUAGUUUGGUCAUUUCUGUUAAUUUAAUUCAAAAAAACGUUAAGUUUAGGGACCAAACUAAUACUAAUUAAAUAAGCUAAGGGACCAAAUUAAUACUAAUUAAAUAAGUUAAGCGACCAAAAUUUAACGUUUUUUUUGUUAAUUUUUGCAUUAAAUUAACAGAAGGGACCAAACCGAUACUUGAAAUAAAGUUAAAGACCUAAAGGGACCUUUUAUUUCUUAUGGGA
rfam:Medicago truncatula strain A17 chromosome 3, whole genome shotgun sequence.